rnacentral:lncRNA from 1 species
UAAGUGAUGAUAAGCAUCGAGGCAUCUGUUUUGCAUCUUUCCACUUGCUUUUUGGCUGAACAACCUUUUGAUGUGCUACACCUGUAAUAGCCUCUGCAUGAUGAAACAUGAAACCUUGUGAGAUUUCUUAAUGGGGAAAGGAGGAAUGGGACAAAGUGAAGGGGCGGAAAAAACCCUUAUUGGCUAAAUUUUAAGGUGUGGGAGGAAAAAUGUAGUUCUAACUCAAACUUCAACAAAAACAUGCACAGAACUGAAGAAACAUGAUGUAAGUUUUGGAUGUAUUGACAAAGUAUAAAGUUUAUGAGUUCAUCUUAAGGACGAUAUAAAGCAAGAAAUCGCGACGCAGAAGAAAGCAC